rnacentral:rRNA from 1 species
AUUGAACGCUGGCGGCAGGCCUAACACAUGCAAGUCGAACGAGGGGCGGACGGGUGAGUCAUGUGUGAGAAACUGCCUGAGGGGGGGGGAUAUCUCCGGGAAACGGUCGAUAAUACCGCAUACCCUCGGAUGUGCCAAGAUGGGAUUAGCUAGGAGGUGGGGUAACGGCUCACCUAGGCGACGACCCCUAGCUGGUCUGAGGGGAUGACCAGCCACACUGGAAAUGAGCCACGGUCCAGACUCCUACGGGAGGCAGCAGUGGGGAAUAUUGCACAAUGGGCGCAAGCCUGAUGCAGCCAUGCCGCGUGUAUGAAGAAGGCCUUCGGGUUGUAAAGUACUUUCAGCGGGGAGGCGUUACCCGCAGAAGAAGCACCGGCUAACUCCGUGCCAGCAGCCGCGGUAAUAC